AGAGAAGCAUGCCAUAGGGACAUUGUGAAUUUGCAAGUGGAGAUGAUUAAACAGUUUCAUAUGCAACUGAAUGAAAUGCAUUCUUUGCUGGAAAGAUACUCAGUGAAUGAAGGUUUAGUGGCUGAAAUUGAAAGACUACGAGAAGAAAACAAAAGAUUACGGGCCCACUUUUGAAAUUUCAGUGAAUACCUUAAUGUUCUGUAAUUUGGGAAGUUUCUGGCAACACAGAACUACAUAGAAUCAGUAUUAUUUUCAUGGCCUCCAGGGAAAAAAUGUUUUUCAAGUAAGAGUAAAAGGGUGAUGGGAUUUUAUACCAACAACUGUUUCAUCUUAAAAAUAUGUAUAUUUUUAUAUUAAAAAUUGUACAGUAUGUCAUCUACC
rnacentral:lncRNA from 1 species